GUGGGUGUAGUGCAACGGUCAGCACACCGGUUUGUGGAGCCGGUAGUGGGGGUUCGACUCCCCUCACCCACC
rnacentral:tRNA from 1 species